GACGAACGCUGGCGGCGUGCCUAAUACAUGCAAGUCGAACGAACCGCGACUAGGUGCUUGCACUUGGUCAAGGUGAGUGGCGAACGGGUGAGUAACACGUGGGUAACCUACCUCAUAGUGGGGGAUAACAGUCGGAAACGACUGCUAAUACCGCAUAGGACAUAGGAUCACAUGAUUCUGUGAGGAAAGGUGGCGCAAGCUAUCGCUAAGAGAUGGACCCGCGGUGCAUUAGCUAGUUGGUAGGGUAAAGGCCUACCAAGGCGAUGAUGCAUAGCCGACCUGAGAGGGUGACCGGCCAAAUUGGGACUGAGAAACGGCCCAAACCCCUACGGGAGGCAGCAGUAGGGAAUUUUCCGAAAGGGACGCAAGGCUGACGGAGCAACGCCGGGUGAGUGAAGAAGGUCUUCGGAUCGUAAAGCUUUGUUGUUAGAGAAGAACAGCGAAAAGAGUAACUGUUAGGCGGGUGACGGUAUUAACCCAAAAAGCCGCGGCUAACUACGU
rnacentral:rRNA from 1 species